rnacentral:lncRNA from 1 species
UUGAACUGAAGAGAAGAUGGAGCUUGUACAAUGAUAGGGCAAGCUCUAGAAGAUGUCCAGAAGAGUUCAAUCAAGCUUCAGAAGUGUUCUGAAGUAGUUAUCUUGUGAAGAUAAGUCCAGGAGGGACUUAGACUGAUCAGAAGAAGGAGGAAGAGUAUUGGGCAUAAAUAGGGCGAGUGGUACGGACAGGAGAUCCGUACCAUCGACCGUACGACCACACCUCUCGACCACACAUCCCGGGAAACUCCACCAGAAGCUGUGCAAACUUAGGGCGUUGUUUCCAAGAGCAAUCAGACGACCUUAUCUUCUUUGUGACUGUUGGAAAGCAAGGGAAAGGAGAGAGGGCGUGGUCCAAGGACAGCCUGUCAUGAGAUGUAAAGGGAAAGCAAGUUGGACCAUGAAUCUAGACACAUAUGUGAGUAAAGGUUCAUGGGAGCCUUAGCAUAACCAAUCAGGCAGCAGCUCCUCUCCACCAAUCAGCUACCAUCUCGUGCUCCCUUUGACCAGAAACAAGACUACAUCCAAGCCAUCCAUUUCUCAAGUCAUUUCUAUCCAUUAGAUUAAGG